rnacentral:lncRNA from 1 species
GAGAAAUUGAGAGGGCUCGGGAGAAAGGGAUCACGUUGGAGGGAGCACACAUUGGGAGGGUGGGAACACAAGGACAACGUAGCUCCCACUGAAACCCACCUGCUGCCCCUACAGCCUCCUAGGGCUCUUUGCCCUCAUCCUCUCUGGCAAAUGCAGUUACAGCCCGGAGCCCGACCAGCGGAGGACGCUGCCCCCAGGCUGGGUGUCCCUGGGCCGUGCGGACCCUGAGGAAGAGCUGAGUCUCACCUUUGCCCUGAGACAGCAGAAUGUGGAAAGACUCUCGGAGCUGGUGCAGGCUGUGUCGGAUCCCAGCUCUCCUCAAUACGGUGCCUUUUGGGACUGAGGACAGGAUGUGGGAUGCGGUGGAGGGACACAGGGCUGGGUUGGGCAUGGGAUGGCGAUCAUGUCAGAGCCUGCCAAGACACUUGUGUUCCUCAGGCUAGAAACCUAAAAGGGGAUGUGGUUCAGUAUACAGGCUUUAUGAUCAAAUACGAACUCAAAUUCUGACUCUGCUACUUACUAGCUACCAGGCAUCUAGUACAACUUACGUUCCUUC